GCGCUUUUUAUCACAUGAAAUGAAAUGAAAAGGAAUUGAAUACCUUAUCUUCACUCCAACCAUAUAAUCCUGACCCUGAUGUAUAUUAAAGUCAUUUCAGAAUAUUACAAAUAUGAACAAACAUCGAUACAGCUAUAUACUAAGUUGUUUAUUUAUUAUAUGGCAACAUUUUAAUGUUUAUAUAAGACGAUGAAAAGAAUAUCAAACUAUAAAAUAUUAUAUACAAGCGUACGAUUACAUAGUCUGUAUCCAUCUUAAUCUAAACUAAUGCUUAUUCGAUACUUAUUUUUGCUCUUAUAUAGAAGUAUCACAUUACUGAAUACGAGCGGACCCCUAAAAAACUAAUUCUCAGCAUUUCGCCAAAACACACCAAUUGCUAUUCACAUGGGAAAAAUAUUCCUUGCUAGACAAUCGAGGGUCCUUUUGGAUCGUAAGCGAUUAACCCAUGCAAGCCAGUUAUUCCCACAUUGACGUCAUAGCACAGUUUUUAGUUAAUCUGGUGCAGUGGCGCAAUCGCCAACCCUAAAUAAUGUCUUAAAUGACUUUAGGCUCUUUUACAGGUAAACUACGUGAAGCGUUCCUCUUUUGACUUCGUAACUCAUUUGGAAUUUUCCUCACUAAGUUUGUAAAUUUGAAAAACUCUUUGCAAAUCCCUUGAGGGAAUUUGCAAUGUUCCUAUCGGCUGUUGCAAUAUUCCAAUGCAAACAAACUUCAUUUUAAAUUUUCCUAACUUCCUGUUUUAAUUUCCUAACUUCCUGUUCUGUUCUGAGCGUUGUUAUAUUGGUCGAUUAUUUUUGUUAGCCAAUUGCAACUCGCAGAACAGAACAGGAAGUUAGGAACUUGUAACAGGAAGUUAGGAACUUCUAACAGGAAUUGAGGAAAAUUUAAUUGGAUUUUAGCAACAUUGCAAAUUUCCUCAAGGUAUUUGCAAAGGAGUUUUUUAAAUUGCAAAAGUAAUGAGGAAAAUUGCAAUGAGGCAUUUACCUGUAAAGACCAGUGGCGUAACGUUAUAUCAGGGGGCCCCCGGUUCAAAAUUUUCGAAGGCCCCCUAGUAGAAGUGCCAAAGGCACGAGUCGAGCACCGUAUAAGCACAAAGU